GACGAACGCUGGCGGCGUGCUUAACACAUGCAAGUCGAACGGUGAAGCGCCUUCCUUUUUGGUGGGUGUGGAUGAGUGGCGAACGGGUGAGUAACACGUGAGUAACCUGCCCCCUUCUUCUGGAUAACCGCAUGAAAGUGUGGCUAAUACGGGAUAUUCUGGGUCUGUCGCAUGAUGGGUCUGGGAAAGAUAUUGUUUCGGUGGGGGAUGGGCUCGCGGCCUAUCAGCUUGUUGGUGGGGUGAUGGCCUACCAAGGCGGUGACGGGUAGCCGGCCUGAGAGGGUGGACGGUCACAUUGGGACUGAGACACGGCCCAGACUCCUACGGGAGGAAGCAGUGGGGAAUAUUGCACAAUGGGCGCAAGCCUGAUGCAGCGACGCCGCGUGAGGGAUGGAGGCCUUCGGGUUGUGAACCUCUUUCGCCAGUGAAGCAGGCCUGCCUCGUUUGUGGGUGGGUUGACGGUAGCUGGAGAAGAAGCGCCGGCUAACUACGUG
rnacentral:rRNA from 1 species